GCUACUACCGAUUGAAUGGUUUAGUGCGGACUCCUGAUUGGCGCCGCCGCCCCGGCAACGGAGCAGCGGACUGCCGAAAAGUUGUUCAAACUUGAUCAUUUAGAGGAAGUAAAAGUCGUAACAAGGUUUCCGUAGGUGAACCUGCAGAAGGAUCACGAUCGUAACAGCACACGUCUUAACUCCAGUCACGUUCCCUUUCCUCAUAUGCCGUCUUCUGCUUUUUCAUACCCAACUUUCGACUCUUUCUUAUUCUUCCUAUAUACUGUCUUACUAUCC
rnacentral:misc_RNA from 1 species